rnacentral:pre_miRNA from 2 species
UUGUGGUGUCAUGGUCAUUGUUGACCGCUCAUACGACCUCCACAAUUGUAUUGCAGCUUAUGCGGGGGUUGUAUAACGAUCAACAAAGACCAUUGACAUCAAAGA